rnacentral:rRNA from 1 species
GACGAACGCUGGCGGCGUGCUUAACACAUGCAAGUCGAACGCUGAAGCCCUGGCUUUUGUUGGGUUGGAUGAGUGGCGAACGGGUGAGUAACACGUGAGUAACCUGCCCUCUUCUUUGGGAUAACGCCCGGAAACGGGUGCUAAUACUGGAUAUUCACUGGCCUUCGCAUGGGGGUUGGUGGAAAGGUUUGUUCUGGUGGGGGAUGGGCUCGCGGCCUAUCAGCUUGUUGGUGGGGUGAUGGCCUACCAAGGCUUUGACGGGUAGCCGGCCUGAGAGGGUGCCCGGUGACAUUGGGACUGAGAUACGGCCCAGACUCCUACGGGAGGCAGCAGUGGGGAAUAUUGCACAAUGGGCGAAAGCCUGAUGCAGCGACGCCGCGUGAGGGAUGGAGGCCUUCGGGUUGUAAACCUCUUUCGCUCAUGGUCAAGCCGCAACUGUGGGUUGUGGUGAGGGUAGUGGGUAAAGAAGCACCGGCUAACUACGUGC